CCUACGGGAGGCAGCAGUGAGGAAUAUUGGUCAAUGGGCGGAAGCCUGAACCAGCCAAGUAGCGUGCGGGAUGAAGGCCCUACGGGUCGUAAACCGCUUUUGCACGGGGAUAACACCCUCCACUUGUGGAGGUCUGCAGGUACCGUGCGAAUAAGGGCAGGCUAAUUCCGUGCCAGCAGCCCCGGUAAUACGGAAGGCCCGAGCGUUAUCCGGAUUUAUUGGGUUGAAAGGGUGGGCAGGCGGAAGAUCAAGUCAGCGGUAAAAUUGAGAGGCUAAACCUCUUCGAGCAGUUGAAACUGGUUUUCUUGAGUGAGCGAGAAGUAUGCGGAAUGCGUGGUGUAGCGGUGAAAUGCAUAGAUA
rnacentral:rRNA from 1 species